UCACCUCUGCAGGCUGGCCAGCCCCCAGGCUGGGCUGGGUGAGUGUCUCUUCAAAAGGCUCACUCUCAAGCAAGACUAGGAGC
rnacentral:pre_miRNA from 1 species